rnacentral:rRNA from 1 species
GACGAACGCUGGCGGCGUGCCUAAUACAUGCAAGUCGAACGAGAGCGACCGGUGCUUGCACUGGUCAAUCUAGUGGCGAACGGGUGAGUAACACGUGGGUAACCUGCCCAUCAGAGGGGGAUAACAUUCGGAAACGGAUGCUAAAACCGCAUAGGUUCUUGAGUCGCAUGACUCAGGAAGGAAAAGAGGCUUCGGCUUCUGCUGAUGGAUGGACCCGCGCUGCAUUAGCUAGUUGGUGAGGUAACGGCUCACCAAGGCCGUGAUGCAUAGCCGACCUGAGAGGGUGAUCGGCCGCAUUGGGACUGAGACACGGCCCAAACUCCUACGGGAGGCAGCAGUAGGGAAUCUUCCGCAAUGGACGCAAGUCUGACGGAGCAGCGCCGCGUGAGUGAAGAAGGAUUUCGGUUCGUAAAACUCUGUUGUUAGAGAAGAACAGCGCAUAGAGUAACUGUUAUGCGUGUGACGGUAUCUAACCAGAAAGCCACGGCUAACUACGUGC